UUUAACACUGCUAGACCUUGUCAUUUCCUCAGUAUGAGAACAAGAAAAUGAGGAUGUACUCGUGAGAAGACAGCAACUGCCAGCAACAGAAUAGACCCUGUAGAACUCAGUAAUGCAUAGAGAACCACUUCCCUACAUCAUAUUCUGGCAAGAGUAACCAGGAAAAUCAGAAGAAUUGCAAAAAGCCACGUUGCUAUGCCCUGACAGUCACUCAGAAGAGUUAUCACUUGGCAUGCAUUCCAGCUCGUUACAAGAUGCUGUUCCAAACGUGUUAAAGACCUUAGUAUAAAAAAUCAACAUAAUCCUGCUUUGAAAAUUCACUGUAAAGAAAGGAAAAGACUGAUCACAUCUCUCUUGUAAUGAAAUCUUACAUUGAACCACAGGUGUCAGAGUAACUACUGAAGCUUUCCUUUCACAAAGAGUGAAACUUUAUCUCAGUAUGAAUGAUAUGUAUCCCCUAUUGUAUUGGAGGUAGGUGUCUGAAAAUGAAGGUUUUUUUUAAUUUAAAAUCUAUACAUUUUGUUUUCUUUUGGCCCUGAAUUGGUAGCUAUUGAUAGAGUGCUCCAUAUGCAGAGACCUGAACGUGAAAGUGAAUCUCCCAGCUAGUAAAGGGACCCCAUCAGCCUGAAUUUAUCAACCAUACAUUAUCUACUUCUUCCUGUAUAAGCAAAAUUUAAAAAAAAAUUAAAAAAAAAAAAAGUGAAAUAUCUUUGCUAGCCUGAAAAUGUGAAAUUAUGAACUUGCUAAAAAUACCAGCAUUUGACAAUUUGAUGGCAGCAGCCUUAAAAACUGUUAUGGAGACAUUUGAACUACUCCUAGGAAGCAUCAUUCUGUCUUAUGGCAGCUAUAGCAGCCAACUUUAUUUUUCUUACACGGAAAUAAGAGCAAAAUACAUUACUGUGGCAUUUUAAUUUUUUUCUGUUUUUGGUCUCUGCAUCUCUUUUCUAUUUGUCAGCUUCACAUCUCUCUGAUCUUCAUCCUGGCAAUUGUAUUUCUCUUCUAUGUUAUUCUCUAUUUAUUCUCUUCACAAAGGAGACUAAUCAGCUCUUCACACCUCAGAGGCCCUGAAGUCUUUAUUUCUUGCUAACUUCUAUUCACAUCUGUUCUUUUUUGCGUGAUUUUCUCUGCUGACCUUAUGACUUUUGACUUUCAGAGCACAUUUUCCUACAUUUGAUUGUUUUACUUGAACAUUUAAUUGCUUCUCAUCCCUGCAGACACUACUUCCCUGACAUUUUAUAGCAAGACUUAAUCAGGAUGUUUCUGCUCUUUUUUUUUUUUUCUUUUUUUUUUUCUGGCAAUAAUCAGCUGAAACCAAACAUGGAAUAAGAUGAUACCGGUUUCAUGAUUUUAAUAGAGAUAUUU